GGGAGGUAGUGACAAUAAAUAACAAUACGGGGUUCUUUCGGAUCUCGUAAUUGGAAUGAGUACAAUUUAAAUCUCUUAACGAGGAACAAUUGGAGGGCAAGUCUGGUGCCAGCAGCCGCGGUAAUUCCAGCUCCAAUAGCGUAUAUUAAAGUUGUUGCAGUUAAAAAGCUCGUAGUUGAAUUUCGGGGUUAGUAGGCUGGUCAUGCCUCUGGUAUGUACUGGUCUCACUGAUUCCUCCUUCCUGAUGAGCCGUAAUGCCAUUAAUUUGGUGUUGCGGGGAAUUUGGACUGUUACUUUGAAAAAAUUAGAGUGUUUAAAGCAAGCAUUAGCUUGAAUACAUUAGCAUGGAAUAAUGAAAUAGGACGUUUGAUCCUAUUUCGUUGGUUUCUAGGAUCGACGUAAUGAUUAAUAGGGAUAGUUGGG
rnacentral:rRNA from 1 species